AGGGGGGCGGGGGUGCUGGCUGAGGUUCGCUGGCUUGUGGCUGGUGAGUGUCGUCAGCCAGAGAAGGCCCAGAGGGGUCACAUGGUGAGGCCGCAUCCCAGCGAGAUAAGGUGGAAGUUAUUAUAACAGUGGGUGUGGGCAGGAAAAAAGGCCUGAGCUGAGGUCACAGAGGGAAGAGGCCCUGAGGCACCCAAGGCCUGGCUGGGACCGGGGUGUGGGAAGGAGAAGGGGGGUGCAGGCCGGCCCCUGGAGGGACGGGGCCCCGGUGCGGACUGCAGACAGACUGCCACCAAGGACUGGAGUGGCUGGACUGGAGCUCGGCACUGAGGGGCACCCUGGCACAGCUACCCCACCGUGUCCUGAGGCUCCCCCACUCCGGGCACCUGGGCCUCACCUCUGACAGCCUCGAGAUGCUCUGCACUCCAGGGCCUGGUGCCUUCACUCCGUCUGACGUGUCGCCACCCUCCCUUCCCUGCUGUACGUUUUCUUGCCUGAGAGCUUCAUGGAAGCCUUCCUGACCACAGGCUAGGACAGGGCACUGCUCCAUGCCCUCUCUGCAACCUGUACUUCUCCUUUAUGAUCUUCUAAAAAUGUGAUGAAAUAUUCAGUUGCGUUGCGUAAGGUCCAUCUUCCCCACUGAUGGCCUGUCUUCAUGGCUGUAUCAACAUGAUUGAUGUUCACGUAUUUGUUGAGUGGAUGAAUGGGAUCAUCUUGGAAGCUAGGCUGAGGCGGAAGAAAGGACAUUCGGGAGGAAGACGGUGAGCACUUGUGCUCAAGGUGCAGAGGAGGGAAGAGAGGCAAAGAUCAGGCACCCGAAGAGGCGCUCAGCACUGUCAGUCAUCAGGGGACGUGAGCCAGAACCACAGCGAGACAGCACCUCACACCCACCAGGACAGCGAGGACCCAACAGACAGACAAUAAAAGAUUCCCGGAAUAGCUUCCAAAGUUCCGGAUCCCCAGAUAAGUGUGCAAGAAUGUGCAAUUCAAUCUGUGAAAAGUCUGUGAGAUAAGAGUCUACGCUAAUUCGGAAUCCACGAACAGCCUCUCGUCGUUGUACCUGCGGCCCAGCCCACCCUCAACUUUCCGUCCUCCCUGCGGCCUCUCCAGUGACAUCCCCCCACCCAUCUGCCAGGUUCCUUUGGCCUCAGGGCCACCGGCCAUCCCUGUCUCCGCAAGUCUAAGUAAGAGACUCCCCCCGCCCGCCUCUGUGAGGCCAGCAGCGCCUCGUCUGUUUAUUCUGUACGUCAGAAGUGUGGAAGGGCCUGCUGUGUGCCAGGCUGUGCGCUUGGCAUUUGUUAGGGAACAGAACAGACCAGCCUUUCUCCGCGGAGCCUAUGUUCCAGGAGCAGGAGACACUGUGAGUCGGAAGACGAGAAGUGGAAAAGACGGAUCAAGAAAGGAGGUUGAUGAGUGAGCAGGCCGUCGGUACACACGUCCCUGAGACAGUGAUGUCUGAGCAAAGGCACAGAGGAGGUGAAGGAGGGAGCCAGAAGGUCUCUAGUGAAGAGGUUCCAUGCUGGGCACGAGGUGGGGCUGGCCCACGUUGGAGGCCAGCACAUCUGCAGCGAGUGAGCAAGGCAGGGAGCCAGGGUGAUGAGGACAGAUGGCAGAAAGGAGAGGCAGAUGGAGUGGGGCUGUACAGGGGCAUCUGGGGUCUAGAGAGGGUGAGGGACCCUGGGAGCAGAUCUGCUUCUAUUCACUAUGCACAAGAAAUCUCUCCGCGUAAAUUUUUGCCUUAGGAUUUAUUUUAAAGAGUGAAUUCUGUAAGUACUUCUGAAGUAUCCGUCUCCAAACACACGAACUGUAUGAGAUGCAUGAAGUGAGCUGCAGUGACACAGGGUGUCUCUCGGACAUAGUCUGCCCGCACCUGCUGCCAGGAAGGUGUGGCCCUCGGGUGAGACCAACGUGCUCCUCGGGGAGACGGUGAGCCUUCCGCCUUCCGCACCUGAAUUGUUAUUUCAAGGGCACUUGGCGAAUCUGGACACGAGCUUCUUCACAGCCAGUUGUCACGAAGUUUAUUCAAAUAUCAUUCCAAAUUUAAGAGUCCAGAUUUCUGACUGCUGAAUAUAUUUAUUAACAUAAUUUAGAAAUAUCACGGUACUGCUGAGAGUAAAGUGGAUUUUCUGUUGUUAAAAUUUUAUGUUGUGUCUGGAAUUCCUGGUGAGGAAAAGCUCAAAAACUACUGACUCUAGAACGUACUCCAGUUAAGAACGGUCUAGAGACUCCCUGAACCUCUCCGACCAGGAGACAGACUUUGGGGAAGUGCGGUCCUACGAUGCACCAAUACGAUUUGAAGGGCGGCAGGAGGCAAAGUUGCUAUGGUCACCUCCACGGUCCCGCUUAAGUGUGGCUUCGUGUAUUUGAAAAGGACCCCUCGUCAUGCUUCACUGUUUUGUGGGGACCCAGCAGAAGCAGCAGCUCCUGAAGCAGAGGGUACAGGACCCCAGGGGGAGGGGCCACAGAACCUUCUUUGCUCAGGUUUGAGCUUUUUCUUUUUUAUAAAUGUAACCAGCAGCAUUACCAUGGAAGAGCUCAAAAGAAAGGUGUUAGCAUGCUUUUAUAAACAUUUCCAGUAGUUUUCAGACUUUAAUAAAAGCCAGUUUUACUGUUUGUUUUUCUCCUCUAUUGGGAAGCUGGUGAGGGAGAGAUGGUGGGAGGGGAGCUGCUUUCCUUGUAUAAUUAUCAUCUAUUUUAACUCCCUAAAAGGGAGGUGCCAUAUCAGUUUAUUUUUCAAUGUGUACUUAAAUCCUGGUCAUGCAAAUACAGAGAACUUCA